rnacentral:rRNA from 1 species
CCUGGCGGCACUAGCGCGGUGGUCCCACCUGACCCCAUGCCGAACUCAGAAGUGAAACGCCGUAGCGCCGAUGGUAGUGUGGUGUCUCCCCAUGUGAGAGUAGGGAACUGCCAGGC